UAGGGAAUCUUCCACAAUGGGCGAAAGUCUGAUGGAGCAACGCCGCGUGAGUGAAGAAGGGUUUCGGCUCGUAAAACUCUGUUGUUAAAGAAGAACAUAUCUGAGAGUAACUGUUCAGGUAUUGACGGUAUUUAACCAGAAAGCCACGGCUAACUACGUGCCCG
rnacentral:rRNA from 1 species